rnacentral:rRNA from 1 species
UCCGCACGAGCGCAACCCUAUCUUUAAUUGCCAUCAUUCAGUUGGGCACUUUAGAGAGACUGCCGGUGUUAAGCCGGAGGAAGGUGGGGAUGACGUCAAGUCCUCAUGGCCUUUAUGUCUAGGGCUACACACGUGCUACAAUGGGUGGUACAAAGAGCAGCUAACUCGCGAGAGUAUGCAAAUCUCAAAAAGCCAUCCUCAGUUCGGAUUGGAGUCCGCAACUCGACUCCAUGAAGUUGGAAUCGCUAGUAAUCGCGGAUCAGCAUGCCGCGGUGAAUACGUUCCCGGGCCUU